rnacentral:lncRNA from 1 species
CUUUCUUUCUUUCUUUCUUUCCAUAUUUUGGUGCCCCAUCCAUCCCAUCUUUCAACUUUGGUCUUUUUGGCGCAGUUAAUGCAUCCUAAACCAUACAUAUCCCAUGGAGUUUGAUUGCUUGCUUUUAGAGGAUACCUAGAUGCUCCAUGAUGUUUCACUUUCAUAUUCAGAAAUAUUUCAUUUGCUAACUUUUUUAUUUAUUUUAAAUAUUAAUAAUAAUGAUUGAAAUUAUGACUACAACACAAUUCUGU